CGGGCCCGCACAAGCAGCGGAGCGUGUGGUUUAAUUCGAUGCUACACGAAGAACCUUACCAGGGUUUGACAUGCAAGUGGUAGGAACCGAAAGGCGACCGACCCUUCGGGGAGCUUGCACAGGUGCUGCAUGGCUGUCGUCAGCUCGUGUCGUGAGAUGUUCGGUUAAGUCCGCUAACGAGCGCAACCCUCGCUGUGUGUUACAAGUGUCACACGGUACUGCCGGUCUUAAGCCGGAGGAAGGUGGGAUGACGUCAAGUCAGCAUGGCCUCUAUGUCCAGGGCUACACACACGCUACAAUGGCCGGUACAGUGGGUUGCCAAACCGCGAGGUGGAGCUAAUCCUCAAAGCCGGUCUCAGUUCGGAUUGUAGGCUGCAACUCGCCUGCAUGAAGUCGGAGUUGCUAGUAACCGCGCGUCAGCUAUAGCGCGGUGAAUACGUUCCCGGGCCUU
rnacentral:rRNA from 1 species